rnacentral:rRNA from 1 species
AACGAACGCUGGCGGCAUGCCUAACACAUGCAAGUCGAACGAGACCUUCGGGUCUAGUUGCUCACGGGUGCGUCACGCGUGGGAACCUUCCCUUAGGUUCGGAAUACCUCCCCGUCAGGGGUGCUAAUACCGGAUAAUUUCUUCUGACCAAGGAUUUAUCGCCUUUGAAUGGGCCCGCGUUCGUUUAGCUAGUUGGUAGUGUAAAAGCCUACCAAGGCUACGCUCCAUAGCUGGUCGGAGAGGAUGAUCAGCCACACUGGGACUGAGACACGGAGUAGACAACUACGGGAGGCAGGAGUGGGGAAGAUUGGACAAUGGGGGAAAGGCGGAGCAAGCAAUGCCGCGGGAGUGAUGAAGGUGUGAGGGAUGUAAAGCUCGUUUAUACGGGACGAUAAUGACAGUACCGGGAGAAUAAGCGCCGGCUAACUCCGUG